rnacentral:misc_RNA from 1 species
UUUCCGUAGGUGAACCUGCGGAAGGAUCAUUCAUAAUAAAGUGUUUUAUGGCACUUUUUAAAAAUCCAUAUCCACCUUGUGUGCAAUGUUAGAUCUCGUCAAUCUUGGCGAGAUUUUUAUACAUCAACUCAUUCUUUAACUAAUUUGUCUGAAAAAUAUUAUGAAUACUUAAUUCAAAAUACAACUUUCAACAAUGGAUCUCUUGGCUCUCGCAUCGAUGAAGAACACAGC